AUGUGAUUCGAGGUUGGAAGUCAGAACGGAAGCAAGAUCUAUAUGUUGGAUGUGGCCCACGUAAUUUAUUUAACGCGAUUUAUAAAUAUAGAGUCGGUUUAUUCAAAUGGAUUUAUAAAAAUAUGGAAGAUCUCAUUGUUAGAAUGUAUGGUUAGAAUGUAUUUGGAUACGUCCUUGAUGAACAGACGUGAUUUAACAUCCUUACAUUAAGUUAUAUAUAAAUAUGUAACAUACAGGAGUCCUGGUCUAACCCUAAUCCAAUUUUUUGUGACGGUUCCAUCUCCAGGAAUAAAGGAAUUAGACUCAAUACGUCCUGCUUUCUUGCAGAUCACGAACGAAAACGAACCACGAGUAAGGACCGUCGUCUAUAAUCCGGGUAUUGAAAUUGAAAUCAUGGCAGAAGAUACGAUCUUAGUUUCUAAUAAAGUUUCAACACUAGAUGAUUAUUUUGUCUAUAGUCUUUUUU
rnacentral:lncRNA from 1 species